rnacentral:rRNA from 1 species
UCCGUAGGUGGAUCAAUCAGUCAGAGGUGAAAUCCUGCAGCUUAACUGUAGAACUGCCUUUAAUACUGUUGAUCUUGAGUCAUUAUGAAGUGGUUAGAAUGUGUAGUGUAGCGGUGAAAUGCAUAGAUAUUACACAGAAUACCGAUUGCGAAGGCAGAUCACUAAUAAUGUACUGACACUGAGGGACGAAAGCGUGGGGAGCGAACAGGAUUAGAUACCCUGGUAGUCC